rnacentral:rRNA from 1 species
GACGGGGGGGGCAAGUGUUCUUCGGAAUGACUGGGCGUAAAGGGCACGUAGGCGGUGAAUCGGGUUGAAAGUGAAAGUCGCCAAAAAAGUGGCGGAAUGCUCUCGAAACCAAUUCACUUGAGUGAGACAGAGGAGAGUGGAAUUUCGUGUGUAGGGGUGAAAUCCGUAAAUAUACGAAGGAACGCCAAAAGCGAAGGCAGCUCUCUGGGUCC